GCCGUUGAUGAAAACCUUGAAUAGGAAGUGCCGUCCUAUGCGACAACUGACGAUUUUCAUAAUCCAAUUCUGAGA